rnacentral:rRNA from 1 species
UACAGAGGGUGCAAGCGUUAAUCGGAAUUACUGGGCGUAAAGCGCACGUAGGUGGCUGGGUAAGUUGGAUGUGAAAUCCCACAGCUUAACUGUGAAACUGCAUUGGAUACUAUCCGGCUUGAGGAAUGGAGGGGAGACUGGAAUGCUUGGUGUAGCAGUGAAAUGCGUAGAUAUCAAGUGGAACACCAGUGGCGAAGGCGAGUCUCUGGACAUUUCCUGACGCUGAGGCACGAAAGCCAGGGGAGCAAACGGG